AGCUGUGGCUGAGCAGGUGUCAGCUGCUGUCUCC
rnacentral:piRNA from 1 species